rnacentral:tRNA from 1 species
GCCGCCGUAGCUCAGGGGUAGAGCGCGCCCUUGGUAAGGGCGAGGUCCAGUGUUCGAUUCACUGCGGCGGCACCA